rnacentral:rRNA from 1 species
AUACGUAGGGGGCGAGCGUUGUCCGGAAUGAUUGGGCGUAAAGGGCGCGUAGGCGGCGCGGUAAGUCUGGAGUGAAAGUCCUGCUUUCGAGGUGGGAAUUGCUUUGGAUACUGCCGCGCUUGAGUGCAGGAGAGGUUAUCGGAAUUCCCGGUGUAGCGGUGAAAUGCGUAGAGAUCGGGAGGAACACCAGUGGCGAAGGCGGGUAACUGGACUGCAACUGACGCUGAGGCGCGAAAGUGUGGGGAGCAAACAGGAUUAGAUACCCUGGUAGUCCACACUGUAAACGAUGAAUGCUAGGUGUAAGAGGUAUCGACCCCUUUUGUGCCGGAGUCAACACAAUAAGCAUUCCGCCUGGGGAGUACGGCCGCAAGGUUGAAACUCAAAGGAAUUGGCGGGG